rnacentral:rRNA from 1 species
GUGUCAGCCGCCGCGGUAAGACAGAGGUGGCAAGCGUUGUUCGGAAUUACUGGGCUUAAAGGGCGCGUAGGCGGUGGAGUAAGUCUGAGGUGGAAGAUUAGGGCUUAACCCUAAAAUUGCCUUGGAAACUGCAUCACUUGAGUCAGCGAGGGGAUGGCGGAAUUCCAGGUGUAGCGGUGAAAUGCGUAGAUAUCUGGAGGAAGGCCGGUGGCGAAGGCGGCCAUCUGGCGCUGAACUGACGCUGAGGCGCGAAAGCGUGGGGAGCAAACAGGAUUAGAUACCCUGGUAGUCCACGCCCUAAACGGUGGGUACUAGGUGUAGGGCUCGUAAGGGUUCUGUGCCGUAGGGAAACCAUUAAGUACCCCGCCUGGGGAGUACGGCCGCAAGGUUGAA